rnacentral:lncRNA from 1 species
GGCAUUGUCCCCACUCAGAAAUGCUCCAAAAGAACUAAGGAGAAGGAUUAGAGGAGACAAAAUGUUUUUGCUAAAUUCUUGCACUGAAGCCAGAGUUGCUCAGGAAAUAACAGCUCAGUUUGUUAGCUCUGAUCUCUAAUUCCAUCCCAAAUUCAUAACGUUAUUUUUUUUGUUUGUUUCCAUUGUUCAUUUGUUGUGUGCCUCUUAGGAUGUCCCUUUCCAUCUGGGCCUCAAUGACCUUCCCUGGGAAAUGGGGUACUUGUACUUAACCAUACCCCUGCUUCUAAAGACAAACUGGGAAAAUUAAAUGGAAAUUCUAAAAGAAAGCUUCAUCUUUUAGUUCCUUAGAGAACUAGCAUUACAGUUGAUUACCUAGGUGAUGAUUCAAGCUAUUCAACCCUUGUCAUUCUGAAUGUACUUCUCUUCCAGCUUGCCUUGGAAAGAAAAUCAGCCAGUUAAAGAAAGCAUCAGCUGGAACUCUCUCAGCUCUCAGUGACUGCAGAGUGAACUAUGGCAUUCAGCAUAGAAAAUGUUCUUCCAGUGCUCCAAUAAAUAGCAUUCAGUUUUUAGCCCCAGGGAAUUCAGUGUAGCCCUGGUUACUCCUCACUGCCACAGCCAACACUGCUUCCUUGGGUAGGAGAAAUGAUUUAUGGAGAUGAGCUGAACAACAGCCAAUCAACCACCCCCACAGAAACCAUGGAAAUGCACAGGCCACCCUUGGACCAUGACAUACAGGGCAUCUGACUGAUAGUCCCACCAAGACUGCCUAUGAUCAUAAAUGUCCAGCUGUUUGGGCAGACAGCAGUCAAGGCUGUGCUGUGGUGCAGUUUACUCCUGCAGAGAAAGAUGUGCCUAAAAGAGAAGCAGCACCUACCUGGAAGACUCAGGAGACAAAGAGGGAAAGAGUGGGACACAGUGGAUUAUGCUCACCCUGAGGGUUAUCUGAGAAGAUUUCUGAGAACCUGAGAGUCUCAAAUGCCUGAGAGGUGGGAGCUGCAUAGAGAGGAACAGAAAUGAAUCCCCAAGAUUUCCUGGGCUGAGCCUAACAGGAUAUGAGAAGCAGAAACUUCUGGAUUGUGAGAAGAAACAAAGGAAGAAGAGAGAUGCUCUAUAGGAGAAAAAUCACAGACAAUAAGUGGGGAGAGCAAGAAGACAAAGUUUUGUUACUUUAAUUCACCACUCCUAUCCCCAGCCACCAGUGGCCAUCCUGUACUGGAUUCUAAACCCAGGGCCCUAA